CUCCAGACUCCUACGGGAGGCAGCAGUGGGGGAUAUUGCACAAUGGGGGGAACCCUGAUGCAGCGACGCCGCGUGGGUGAAGGAGCGUUUCGGCGCGUAAAGCCCUAUCGGCAGGGAAGAAGGAGGACGGUACCUGACUAAGAAGCCCCGGCUAACUACGUGCCAGCAGCCGCGGUAAUACGUAGGGGGCAAGCGUUAUCCGGAUUUACUGGGUGUAAAGGGAGCGUAGACGGCCAUGCAAGCCUGGAGUGAAAGCCCGGGGCCCAACCCCGGGACUGCUCUGGGAACCGUGCGGCUGGAGUGCGGGAGGGGCAGGCGGAAUUCCUGGUGUAGCGGUGAAAUGCGUAGAUAUCAGGAGGAACACCGGCGGCGAAGGCGGCCUGCUGGACCGCGACUGACGUUGAGGCUCGAAAGCGUGGGGAGCAAACAGGAUUAGAUACCCUCGUA
rnacentral:rRNA from 1 species